GUAGUGGUAUGGGUAGUAAUGGUAAUGAUAACAGUUUAGUGAUGGUGGUGGUAGUAGUAGUGGUAUGGGUAGUAAUGGUAAUGAUAACAGUUUAGUGAUGGUGGUGGUAGUAGUAGUGGUAUGGGUAGUAAUGGUAAUGAUAACAGUUUAGUGAUGGUGGUGGUAGUAGUAGUGGUAUGGGUGGUAAUGGUAAUGAUAACAGUUUAGUGAUGGUGGUGGUAGUAGUAGUGGUAUGGGUGGUAAUGGUAAUGAUAACAGUUUAGUGAUGGUGGUGGUAGUAGUAGUGGUAUGGGUGGUAAUGGUAAUGAUAACAGUUUAGUGAUGGUGGUGGUAGUAGUAGUAUUAUGGGUAGUAAUGGUAAUGAUAACAGUUUAGUGAUGGUGGUGGUAGUAGUAGUGGUAUGGGUAGUAAUGGUAAUGAUAACAGUUUAGUGAUGGUGGUGGUAGUAGUAGUGCUAUGGGUAGUAAUGGUAAUGAUACAAGUUUAGUGAUGGUGGUGGUAGUAGUAGUGGUAUGGGUAGUAAUGGUAAUGAUAACAGUUUAGUGAUGGUGGUGGUAGUAGUAGUGGUAUGUGUGGUAAUGGUAAUGAUAGCAGUUUAGUGAUGGUGGUGGUAGUAUGGGUGGUAAUGGUAAUGAUAACAGUUUAGUGAUGGUGGUGGUAGUAGUAGUGGUAUGGGUGGUAAUGGUAAUGAUAGCAGUUUAGUGAUGGUGGUGGUAGUAGUAGUGCUAUGGGUAGUAAUGGUAAUGAUAGCAGUUUAGUGAUGAUGGUGGUAGUAGUAGUGGUAUGGGUGGUAAUGGUAAUGAUAACAGUUUAGUGAUGGUGGUAGUAGUAGUAGUGGUAUGGGUAGUAAUGGUAAUGAUAGCAGUUUAGUGAUGGUGAUGGUAGUAGUAGUGGUAUGGGUGGUAAUGGUAAUGAUAACAGUUUAGUGAUGGUGGUGGUAGUAGUAGUGGUAUGGGUGGUAAUGGUAAUGAUAACAGUUUAGUGAUGGUGGUGGUAGUAGUAGUGGUAUGGGUAGUAAUGGUAAUGAUAACAGUUUAGUGAUGGUGGUGGUAGUAUGGGUGGUAAUGGUAAUGAUAACAGUUUAGUGAUGGUGGUGGUAGUAGUAGUGGUAUGGGUAGUAAUGGUAAUGAUAACAGUUUAGUGAUGGUGGUGGUAGUAUGGGUGGUAAUGGUAAUGAUAACAGUUUAGUGAUGGUGGUGGUAGUAGUAGUGGUAUGGGUAGUAAUGGUAAUGAUAACAGUUUAGUGAUGGUGGUGGUAGUAGUAGUAGUAUGGGUGGUAAUGGUAAUGAUAACAGUUUAGUGAUGGUGGUGGUAGUAGUAGUGGUAUGGGUAGUAAUGGUAAUGAUAACAGUUUAGUGAUGGUGAUGGUAGUAGUAGUGGUAUGGGUGGUAAUGGUAAUGAUAACAGUUUAGUGAUGGUGGUGGUAGUAGUAGUGGUAUGGGUGGUAAUGGUAAUGAUAACAGUUUAGUGAUGGUGGUGGUAGUAGUAGUGGUAUGGGUAGUAAUGGUAAUGAUAACAGUUUAGUGAUGGUGGUGGUAGUAGUAGUGGUAUGGGUGGUAAUGGUAAUGAUAACAGUUUAGUGAUGGUGGUGGUAGUAGUAGUGGUAUGGGUGGUAAUGGUAAUGAUAACAGUUUAGUGAUGGUGGUGGUAGUAGUAGUGGUAUGGGUGGUAAUGGUAAUGAUAACAGUUUAGUGAUGGUGGUGGUAGUAGUAGUGGUAUGGGUGGUAAUGGUAAUGAUAACAGUUUAGUGAUGGUGGUGGUAGUAGUAGUGGUAAUGACGAUAGUAGUUGUAGUACUGAUGUAAUGGUGAAGAUGACCG
rnacentral:lncRNA from 1 species